rnacentral:rRNA from 1 species
AUUGAACGCUGGCGGAAUGCUUUACACAUGCAAGUCGAACGGCAGCACGGACUUCGGUCUGGUGGCGAGUGGCGAACGGGUGAGUAAUGUAUCGGAACGUGCCCAGUCGUGGGGGAUAACGUAGUGAAAAUUACGCUAAUACCGCAUACGAUCUAUGGAAGAAAGCGGGGGAUCGCAAGACCUCGCGCGAUUGGAGCGGCCGAUAUCAGAGUAGGUAGUUUGUGGGGUAAAGGCCCACCAAGCCAACGAUCUGUAGCUGGUCUGAGAGGACGACCAGCCACACUGGAACUGAGACACGGUCCAUACUCCUACGGGAGGCAGCAGUGGGGAAUUUUGGACAAUGGGCGAAAGCCUGAUCCAGCCAUUCCGCGUGCAGGAUGAAGGCCCUCGGGUUGUAAACUGCUUUUGUACAGAACGAAAAGGUUUCUACUAAUACUAGGAGCUCAUGACGGUACUGUAAGAAUAAGCACCGGCUAACUACGUGCCAGCCGCCGCAGUAA